rnacentral:lncRNA from 1 species
GUGGAAGAGAGUAUGAAAUUCGGCUUCUCAAAAAGAUUGGAAGGCUUCACAAACUUAUUUGCCAGACCCCCCCAAACGACCUCCCUCACAUUAUCAGACCUGUUUUAAGAAAAGGGAAAGUAAUACGUUAACCUAAUUUUGAAUACAUCAAAAAUUUACAAAUAAUAGGUAUAGACAACAUCAAUGUUCCAUUUACGUUUCAUCUUGGACCCAAAUUUCACGAAUUAUCUUGUUUCCCUUGACUUUCUUUAUGUCCGAAGAAUCUAUGAAAAUUCCAACGAUAUCUGGAGCAAAAAAUGAAAGUGGUUAACAAUUAUCUAUGCUUUAAAGGUAAAUCAAUGAGUCUACACUACAUAGUAUACUACAUACCAUUUAAGAAGACCUUGUCCUUCUUUUUCAGCAAAGUGUAUUUAGCUUUCCAUGUAUGCGACUUCCCAUGUAUGCGACUUCC